rnacentral:rRNA from 15 species
CUCUCGGCAACGGAUAUCUCGGCUCUCGCAUCGAUGAAGAACGUAGCGAAAUGCGAUACUUGGUGUGAAUUGCAGAAUCCCGUGAACCAUCGAGUCUUUGAACGCAAGUUGCGCCCGAAGCCGUCAGGCCGAGGGCACGCCUGCCUGGGUGUCACG